GACGAACGCUGGCGGCGUGCCUAACACAUGCAAGUCGAACGGAAAGGCCCUGCUUCUGUGGGGUGCUCGAGUGGCGAACGGGUGAGUAACACGUGAGUAGCCUGCCCUUGACUUUGGGAUAACUUCAGGAAACUGGGGCUACUACCAGAUAGGAGGUCCUGCUGCUUGGUGGGGGUUGGAACGUUUCGGCGGGCGGUGAUGGACGCGCGGGUUAUCGGCUUGUUGGUGGGGUAGUGGCUUACCAAGGCUUUGACGGGUAGCCGGCCUGGGAGGGUGCACGGCCACAUUAGGACUGAGAUACGGCCCAGACGCGUACGGGAGGCAGCAGGCGGAAAUAUGGCACAGUGGGCGGGAGCCUGAGGCGGCAGCGCCGCGGGCGGGAUGACGGCCUGCGGGUUGUAAACCGCUUUCGCCUGUGACGAAGCGUGAGUGACGGUAAUGGGUAAAGAAGCACCGGCUAACUACGUG
rnacentral:rRNA from 1 species